GCAAGAACCAUGCGAGACUAGAGAAAAAUGUCUCGCGAGACUUCGCUUAGUUCUUUUUCUUCUUCCUUGGGAUUUGUGGGUUGUCUUUGCCCUUUAGCUUUCGUGCUUGUGCCUGUGUUCGAGGGUUGACAGUACUAUGAGUUUGGAGAAGUCAGCGCUUGCAGAAAUGGUGUUUCCGAUUUGGGCCGACAUAAAGUUUGCCAACAUAGUCCUUCUGUUCCUAGCCAAGGAAGGGUCAGGGAAAGCCUCACUCCCCUCUCAUCACUAUCAUUCUAGGUCCUAGUUCUAUAGGGCUUGGAAGUUGCAAAGAAUUCUUCGUACUUUAAGAGAUGUACUGCAACCUUGUGAGGAAAGCAAUCGUUUGACAGUGAAGGUUCAUGAUUUUCCAUAGGAAAAGAAAUUUAGCAAUCUGGAGAUAAUUUUCCGUGGUAGGAAAAAAAAGAAGCAAAACAAGAGUUGACUAAUAUUUAUGAAAGCCAUUAUCAUCAAAGUUGGAAAUAUUAAGCAAUGGCAGUUGAAAUGAAGCAAAUCUCAAGUGAGAAGAUCCAAAAAAUGCCAUAGAUAUAGCACAUACGGAUUUCAUCAAGACAUUUGACAAGAGUCUUUUAUGAUAACCUUGUGGACAAGAUGGAGAAACAUGAGCUAAUGAAAGUACAAUUAGGACAGCUUCAGAAACUGGUUAAACACCUUCAAAUAGUAAUUAAUAGAAUGCUGUCAGCCUGAAGGGAUUCUAGUUACAGCCACUAGGCUUUCUCCCUGGAGCUUUUACUACUCAACAUUUUUAUCAACUUACAUAAUAGAUAAAUGCAUACAGUAGGGGCCCAUAUCCUCAUGGGGAUAUGUUCCAAGAUCUACUGCAAAUGGCUGAAACACAGGAUAUAAAUUAACACCUGCUGGCCUCAAAUAUUUUCCCUAUAAUUGUCUCCCUCUCUCUCACUCAUCUUGCUCCUCAGCAAUCUCCUACAGACCUCCCAUCCUACCCCCAGUCCUCCCCAAAAAGGAAAGAAAGAAAAUGAAAACAGAAGAGACAGCUGCAAGGAACAGACUUCUGCUGCUGGACCUCCUGAGCUCUAUGGAUGACCUUCAGGGGUUCACAGUUGUCACUGGAUAACUGAAACCACAGAAAACAAAACCACAAAUGAUGGGGCCCUACUGUACUUGUAAAUUUGAAAAUACCAUAAAACUGGAAAAGAAGGCUAAUAUGCUAAGUGACAGAAUUGAGAUCCCAGAAGAUUUUGACAGGGCAGAGCAAUAGACAGACUCUAGGAAGAGAAAAACAGUCUUUCUGACAUAGGAUAACAACUGGAUAUGCCAUUUUAUUGGUAUAGGGAGCCCUGAUGAGAAACCUCCUCUGCUGGUAUGUCUGGGCUCUUUUGUAGAAAGUUUAAAAAAAUAGUGAGAGGUUAGGUGACUUGCCCUGAGUCAAGAUUAAAUUUAAUGUGAAAAAGUCCUUUACUCAGAUCCAAAAAAAUCGACUCUUCCAUUACAAUUUGGGAAAAGCAUGACUAAACCUAGUACUUUUAGUCUCAAGACAAGUCCAAUUUUGACAUGGCUAAAAAAACAAACAUGGUAUAUUACAUAAAAGAAGUAUAAUGUCCAAAUUCAGCUAGACUAUGCCAAUCAGGCCACAUCUGUAAUGUUGCAACUGGUUCUGUGCAACACGUUUUUGAAGGACACAGAUAAGGAAUACAUACAUAUAUGGUGCUGAGGAUACUAAGAAAAUAGGAUGCAAUGUCAUCUGGAAAUGUUUAGCCUAGAAAAGAGAAGACUUUGUAGGAGGUAGGAAGGACAAAAUAAAUAAUUUGAAAGGUUCUCACUUGGAAGGAGGAUUAUGCUUGUUUUGUUUGGCCUCUGAACAAAGAAAUAAGAGACUUGUAUUUGUUAUUGCAACUUCUACCCAUUGUUCAUGCUGUGGGGAGAGGAGAGUGAGGCAGAAGAUAGUAGAAUAGAAUAAGCAAUCUUUUUACAUGACAACCCUUCAUAUUAGUUAAGAUAGCUAUUCAAUCCUCACAUAUCUCCUCCACCUCAUUCUCCUUUAUUUUAUGCUAACCAUUCCCAUUUCCUUUAACCCAUCUUCAUUUGUAAUAGAAUCAAGACCCUUCCCAUUUUUGUUAUUAUCCUCUGGGAGCUUUUCAGUUUAUCAAUAUCUUUUUAAAAUCAUGGUACCCAGAACUGAGCACAGUGCUUAAGAUGAGGUCUGAUAAAGGCAGGAUAUUUGUGAUAUCCCCUCCCUAUUCCAGCAAGCUAUAAAUCAAUGGCUGAAUACAUAGUAAAACUAUCGAUAAAUGUUUUAUAUAUUUCUGCUCCUCUUAAUGCAGCCUUUAAAAAAAAUUUCCCAAUUAUAUGUAAAAACAAUUUUUAACAUUUGUUUUUCAAAAUCUUGAGUUCCAAACUCUCCCUCAGUUCCUCCCCUUUCCCUUCUCCAAGAAGGCAAGCAACCUUACACAGGUCAUAUGUGUGUAAGCCAUGUAAAAUAUUUCCACAUCAGUCCUGUUAUGAAGGAAAAACACAAAAAUCAAGAAAAAAAAUUUUUUAAGACUUCAUUCAGACUCCGUCAGUUCCCUUUCAUAGGAUCUAGAAAAUGGCUUAGAACAUUGUGUUAAGAAUAUCUAACUCAUUCACACUGAUCAUCAUACAAUAAAUAGUGUUCUUAUUGUAUAUAAUGUUCUCCUAGUUCUGCUCAUUUCACUGCAUCAUUUUUUGUCUUUCCAGGUUUUUUUUUGCCAUCAUUUCUCAGAGUAGUAUUCCAUUGUAAUCAUAUACUACAACUUAUUCAGCCAUUCUCCAAAUGAUGAACAUCCCCUCCUCCAUUUCCAACUCUCUACCACCACAAAAAGAACUGCUAUAAAUAUUUUUAUACUUACAGGUCCCUUUCCUUUUUGUUUGGUUUUUUGUCUCUUUGGGCCACAGACUUAGUGGAGAUAUUCCUGGGUCAAAGGGUAUACACAGUUUUAAAGCCCUUUGGCCAUAAUUCAAAAUUGCUCUCCAAAAUGUUUGAAAGAGUUCACAACUUCACCAGCAGUGCAUCCCCUCCAACAUUUGUCAUUUUCCUUUUUGGUCACAUUAACCAAUCCAAGAGGUUGGGGGUAUAGUUGUUUUAAUGUAUAUUUCUCUAAUCAGUAGUUAUUUAGAGCAUUUUUUUCUUGACUAUAGAUAGCUGUCAUUUCUUCUGAAAACUGCCCGUUCAUAUCCUUUGACCAUUUAUCAGUCAGGGAAUAUCUUGUAUACUUGUAAAUUUGACACAGUUCAGGGGCAGCUAGGUGGUAGUGGAUAGAGAGGUAGGCCUGAAGAUGGAAGGUCUUGGGUUCAAAAGUGACCCAAGAUACUUCCUAGCUAUGUGACCCCAGGAAAGUCAUAACCUCAGUUCCCUAGCUCUUACUUCUCUUCUGCCUCAGAAUCCAUAAUUGGCAUUGACUCUAAAACAGAAAGUAAGGGUUUUGUUUUGUUUUUUUUUUAAGUUGAUUCAAUUCUCUAUAUUUGAGAAAUGAAGACUUUUCCAGAAAAACCUGCUGUUAAAAAAAAUUUUUUUUUAGAAUCGGGAUUACUAUUUCUCUUCAUCCUAUUUCCCCCAUUUAUUUUACUCUUUUUCUCCUUUCCAUCCUGUCCAUCCUCAAAAGUGUUUUGUUUCUGAUUUCCACCUCCCCUAAUCCUUCCUCCCUUUUAUCAAUUUCUUCCACCCUUUCUUGUGUCACCUUCCCUUCCUGUAGGGUAAGAAAGGUUUCUAAACCCAACUGUGUAUGCAUGUUAUUCCCUCUUUGAGCCAAUUCCAAUGAGUAAGGUUCAAGUGCUACUUCCUACUUCAGUCUUCCCUUCCAUUAUAAAAUUCCUUUGAAUCUCUUUUAUGUGAGAUAAUUUACCUUUGUUCUACCUCUUCCUCCUCCCAAUGUAUUCCUCUUUCUCCUUAAUUUUUUUCUACAUAUUAUUCCAGAUAGAAAUAUAAACAGUCUAAUCUUAUUGAGUCCCCUUUGAUUUCUCUUUCCUUGUUAUCUUUUUAUGCUUCUUUUGAAUCUUGUAUUUGAAAGUCAGAUUUUCUAUUUAGUUCUUUUCAUCUUGAAUUCCUGGAAGUCCUCUGUUUCACUGGAUGUCUGUUUUCUUCUAGAAGGAUUCUACUCAGUUUUGCUGGCCUACCCAGCCAAAGAGAUUAUUGGUUAUAAUCCUAGCUCCUUUGCCCUCUGAAUUCUAAACCCUACACUCCUUUAAUAUAAAAGAAGCUGCUAAAUCUUGUGUUAUCCUGGCUAUGGCUGCAUAAUAUUUGAAUUGUUUCUUUCUGACUUCUUGAAAUAUUUUUUCCUUGACUUGGGAGCUCUAGAAUUAUUUUGGCUAUAACAUCCUUGAAUGUUGUAGCCAAAUGUCAACCUUGAAAAACAUAGAACCAUUAAAGUAGUUAGAAAGAACAAGUCUUUAUUCAGGCAAGAGAGACAAAGCUCAAGAAGAUUUGGCUUCCACAUAGAGUCAAGCGCUAAAUACCACACAGAGCCAAAGCUCUGGGACUCUGGGAACAAUGUCUCUGGGAAAACACACUGCCAAAGGUGAUUUACCAAAGAGCUGAAGAACUUAGGGUCCUCUAUCCUUUUUGGAGAAUAUAGGACAGGAAGGAUCAAUUGAUUGGCUUUACAAUGGACACAAGUGAAGGAAGAGUCCAGGGCUAGACUACCUGGGAGAGGUUUCUGAUAUGGUGGGAGAAACAUCUACUAAUUCUACCUAAGCUGAGGUCAUUAGGUUCUUUUAGGUUUAUUGUUCAGUCUGAGACAAGAUCAGUCUGAGACUUCCCUCAAAGCAAGUUCCCAAGGGAUGGGCAAAUUUGGGGGUUCCAUAAACACAGUUGAUAAUCCCUAGGAGUUUUCUUAUUGGGAUCUCUCUAAAGAAACUUCAGUAAGUUCUUUCUGUUUUAACCUCUGGUUCCAGAAUUCCUUGAUAAUUUCUCAAAGGAUAAUGUCUAGGCUCUUUCUAUUUUCCAGGUCAAUUAUUUUUCCAAUGAGAUAUAUCACAUUUCUUCUGAUUUUUAUUUAUUGUUUCUCAGUGUUUCAUGGAGUAUUAACCUCCACUUGCCCAAUUCUAAUUUUUAAGGAAUUUUCUUCAGUGAGAUUUUGUACCUCUUUUUUCAUUUGACCAAUUCUAUUUUUUAUUAUUUUUUUAAGCCCUUACCUUCUAUCUUGAAAUUGAUACUGAGUAUUCCAAGGCAAAAGAGCAGUAAGGUCUAGGCAUUUGGGUUAAGUGAUUUGUCCAGGAUCACACAACUAGUCCAAAUUUGAACCCAGAACCUCCCAUCACCAGGCCUGACUUUCUUUUUCCUGAGCCACCUACCAGUCCCCAAUUCUUUUUUUUUUUUAAUCCUUACCUUCCAUCUUGGAGUGUAUUGGCUCCAAGGCAGAAGAGUGGUAAGGGCUAGGCAAUGGAGGUCAACUGACUUGCCCAGGGUCACACAGCUGGGAAGUGUCUGAGGCUAGAUUUGAACCUAGGACCUCCCAUUUCUAGGCUUGGCUCUCAUUCCACUGAGCUACCCAACUCCCCCCCCCCCCCAUUCUACUUUUUAAGGAAUACUUUUUUUAAACUUCUUUUAAUAUUUUAUUUCCCCAAUUACACGUAAUAACAAUUUUUAACAUGUAUUUUCCAAAAUUGUAAGAUCCAAAUUGUUUCCCUCCCAGUCCUGGAAAUGGUUAGCAGCUUUGUCUGGGUUAUACAUGUAUUAUCAUGCAAAACUUCCAUAUUGUUCAUUGUUGUAAGAGAAUACACAUAAAAACUAAAACACAAAAUAACAACAAAAAGUGAAAAAUAAUGUGCUUUGAUCUGCAAAGGAAUUCUUUUCGGUUAUUUUUUUGUAGAUCUUUUUUCCAUGUGGCAAAUUCUGCUUUUUAAGGAGUUUUCUUCAGUGAAUUUUUGCAUAAGUUUUGUAUAUAUUUAAAGUAAUGUGUAAAUUGUUUGGGACAAGCAAUUUGAUAUGGUUUCAUUUUGUGAAAACCUUGGUUAUGCAUAUAUUCUACUGACACUGGUGUUACAAUAUCUGAUCUAAACCAGAUGAAAGUGGUGUCUUCAUCUUUAGUAAGUUUUCUAUCAGGGGAAUAUUGAGUUUUAAUUCUGUGAUUUUAAAGAGUGCAUAUUGCUCCAAGAAAACAUCCCAAUCUCUAAAGUGCCCACAUCAGUGACUCUUAGAGAUAAUGCAGGAUCUAUUAGUUUGGAGAAAUUAAUUAAGCAUUUCAAGAAUCAUUCAAGUCAGUGGUGGAAAAGGAUCUGUCUCACUGAAACCUCUGGAAAGGUUUUUUUUUUUAAAUGCCAACAACUAUGAUACAAUCCUCAGAAAACAAGCAGAACUUAAGAGGAACCUUUGGAAGCUUCUUAAAUUUAGAAGAACAUUGAGAUGACCAGUAAAAGAAUAGCUUCUAACCAUUGCUUAGAAGAAAAAAAUUCUUGUUAUGGUCUGAAUAGUACAAAAACUGGAGAACUGACAAUUAGGAAAAGGUAUUUUUUUAAGAUAGCUAAAACGUUUAUUAAACCCUAGGUGCAUUCUAAGUAUUGUGUUAAAUGUUGGUGCUAAUUAAAAGAAAGACUAUCACCCUGCCCUUAUAGAACUUACAUACUAAUAAAGGAAGACUAUCCAUAAAAUGCAUCUGAAAAGGAGAGAGAGAAAAGGAAGUUACUGGCCUGGGGACAAAGUAGAAAAGUAAUCCAGAGAGUUAGGGACUAAUCCUUACCUGCAGAUAAUAAAUACAUCCUCAAGUGGAAAUUCCUAGGAGGAAUUUACCAAUGAGGCAGGGAGACCCUGGAGAUGGAGGUUUCGGGGCUUGAAAAGUUGGGAAGUAGUCCAGAUUCCUGAGCUGAAGAAGGUGUAAAGGGAGGAAAAUCAGUUUUUAAAGUUCAGUGCUAUACCAAAACCAUUGUCAGAAGAAACCCAGAUGAGCCUGUAAAAUCUGAAUAUUGUCAUCCAAAGGUAAAAUAUACACCCUCCCCUAAAAAAUAUAUUUAGGGUUGUUUGUCUUUCCUGGAAUUACUAGGGCUAGAUGGGCUGGAGGCCUUGUACCAUUGAGGAAAUGAUGACCUUGAUGAGAAGCAGAAUUAUUUCCAAAUUAUAGAAAUUCCCAAAAAGAGAUAGAAUGAAUACUGUAGUCCAGACCUUGCACUAUGCCAUAAAUCCCAGAAAGCUAAAAAAAUGUGUCCAAGAAGUGGAGAGAAACAUGAUUCAUUGGAAACAAAGCCAUUAGUUUGUGAGAUCCUUGAAGACAGAGACUGACUUUUUUGCCUUUUAGUGUCUCCAACAAUUUAGUACCUCCAUGGCACAUAAUAGAUGCUUAAUAAGUGUUUACUGAUUGGUUCAUUGAUUUAAACUCCAUUGAAAAUCUAUGGGCUAGACUUGGAAAAAAUAGACUAUUACAUUUCCUACCCAAGGUAAUAAAAAUGUGAUUGCACAAAUCACUCAGCAAAAAUUUAUUAAAUGCUUUCUAUGUACUAAGUUCAGAGCAGAAUAAAAAUGCAAAAGUGUCUUCUCAGGAACUUAUUUUAGUGGGAAGAUGACUUCUAACAUGUGUAUUAAAUGGUUUUUAAAGAUGUCAAAUGUUACAAGGUUUAUUAUAUAUAUAUAUAUAUAUAUAUAUUUAUAAAUAUAUAUAUAUAAUUUAGUCAUUUUAUUCUGUCCAAGUUUGCUCAUUACUGUAUAGAUUUACAUUUUUGUUUUUCCCUCUUAGAAUGUAAUUUCCUUGAGAGCCAAGGCUUUCAUGUUUUCCAUAGUUCCCUAGGACUUAGCACAGUGCUUGACACUUCGUAUAGGACUUUGAUUGGUUGAAAUCAUGUUAGCCUCAUGACCACACCUCAUAUAGGUAACUUGUAAAACUGUUAAAAAUGAGUUAUCAGAUGGUCCUGGGUACCAAAGAGUUCCCUAUCCUGAUGAAGUUAUACAUCUGGAUCAAUAAUAAAAAUAAAUAAAUACUAAACGAAGGGGAAUAAUCAACCCAAUGUAUUUUAGACUGGAAGUACAAUUUUUAAUCUGGAAAAAACUUCCCAGAAUGGGUAAAACUACAACCAAACUUUGAGAUGGGAUCCUGAGGGAUCUCUUCACUUUGAAACCUUUAUUAAACUUUUGUUAAAUAUUUGAGUGCUGCCCAAAAAAAAAAGUAGCUCAGAAACACCAGAUUUGUGGUGAAAGCAUUGACUUAUCUGACUCAUCUCCUUGGAGUACAAAAAAUAAAGGCCACACAAAUAAAGCAAAUUAUUCAGUCCUCGAAUUUCUGUGUUCAAAAUAUUUUUCUAGAGUAAGGCUUCCUAAAAAGGAGCUACCCAGAGCAGUAAAAAUAUCAACACUCCCUUCUCCAGGACUCCAGAGAUUGGUAAUAUUAAUAUUUUCUACAGUAGAUAUUUAUUUUCCACAGAGCAAGUUAUUCUUUAAUCUUGGUACCCUUGCUUUUAUGUCCAAAUCUGCCCAACCAUUCUUUCUUCAGUCAUAGAAAAAGAAUUGAAAUCAUGGUUUCCUACUUUUUUCACUAUAUGACUCUAAGCAAGCCACCUCUUAAGUAACAAGAACAUGUGAUAUGAUAGAAAGGUGCAUGUACAUGUAAAUUUGGGGGAGGUGGACUGUGAAUAAAGAUACUCUCACUAAUCAUCUUAUCUCAGGCAAGUAAUGCAAACUUAAAAAAUUUUUUUUGAACUUCAUAAAAUAACAACAUAAGCAUUCACUUAUAUACCAAGUAGAAAAACAAGACUAUAUGAAAUCAAGACUAUUCUGUACAUUUCUUUUUAAGUACACCUUAAAUUUAAUCUCAGUAUCAACAUGGCCCUGCUUGCCACUUUCUAAACUUUAUAUUUCCUUCUUUGGAUUUUGAUUGAUUGAUGAUUUUUCUCUUUUUCAUCCCUAUUACUACUAUCCUCACCUCCCUGUAAAAAUCUCCCUGCCAAAAAAUAAAAUGUAAACCCUUUUGUAAUAAAUAUAGACAGUAAAGAAAACUGUAAUUUGA